GGCGGACGGGUGAGUAACGCGUGGGAACGUGCCCUUCUCUAUGGAAUAGCACUGGAAACGGUGAGUAAUACCAUAUACGCCCUUCGGGGGAAAGAUUUAUCGGAGAAGGAUCGGCCCGCGUUAGAUUAGGUAGUUGGUGGGGUAAUGGCCUACCAAGCCUACGAUCUAUAGCUGGUUUUAGAGGAUGAUCAGCCACACUGGGACUGAGACACAGCCCAGACUCCUACGGGAGGCAGCAGUGGGGAAUCUUAGACAAUGGGCGCAAGCCUGAUCUAGCCAUGCCGCGUGAGUGAUGAAGGCCUUAGGGUCGUAAAGCUCUUUCGCCUGUGAUGAUAAUGACAGUAGCAGGUAAAGAAACCCCGGCUAACUCCGUGCCAGCAGCCGCGGUAAUACGGAGGGGGUUAGCGUUGUUCGGAAUUACUGGGCGUAAAGCGCAC
rnacentral:rRNA from 1 species